rnacentral:rRNA from 1 species
UGGUGGAGUGAUUUGUCUGGUUAAUUCCGUUAACGAACGAGACCUCGACCUACUAAAUAGUCGGAUGAAUUCUCGAAUUCAUUUCAACUUCUUAGAGGGACUUUGCCUGUUUAGGGCAAGGAGGUUCGAGGCAAUAACA